rnacentral:lncRNA from 1 species
AUGGCCCCCUCUCUCCGUCACUGCAGCGUCGGUGCUGUAGUGGCAGGAGCAGCAGAUGGAGCAGAUGUUAGUGUCAAUGCUCGGCAUGUGUGCAGAGAUGCAGCAUUUCUCCACCCACCCACACACUGUCUCCUCAGACACACUGCUUGCCUCCUGCUCUCUGACGCUCUCAGACUCCCUGCAAAGGUUGAUGUCCGGAGUGUGAGAGCAGCCCGGCGGCUUGGUGCAGGCGGUGAAGGAGCUCUGGAAACCUCCAUCUCUGCCCGACCCAGAGUCGAAGGAGCUGUCCGCUGGUCCCGCUGCACUGCUAUGACUGUGAGCUCCUGAAGAAUUCUCUCUUUUAAAAACGAUUCGCCAUCCUUCUU